rnacentral:rRNA from 1 species
AUACGUAGGGGGCGAGCGUUGUCCGGAAUGAUUGGGCGUAAAGGGCGCGUAGGCGGCGCGGUAAGUCUGGAGUGAAAGUCCUGCUUUCAAGGUGGGAAUUGCUUUGGAUACUGCCGCGCUUGAGUGCAGGAGAGGUUAUCGGAAUUCCCGGUGUAGCGGUGAAAUGCGUAGAGAUCGGGAGGAACACCAGUGGCGAAGGCGGGUAACUGGACGGCAACUGACGCUGAGGCGCGAAAGUGUAGGGAGCAAACAGGAUUAGAUACCCUGGUAGUCCACACUGUAAACGAUGAAUGCUAGGUGUAAGAGGUAUCGACCCCUUUUGUGCCGGAGUCAACACAAUAAGCAUUCCGCCUGGGGAGUACGGCCGCAAGGUUGAAACUCAAAUGAAUUGACGGGG